GGGAGGAAAAUUGGGAAGAAAAUCUGGUUUACGUGUUUACAGCAUGGCAUGUAUUGUGCCUUUCAUAUAAGUCCAUACCUUUUGCAGGGUGGGAGAGGUAGGACAUUGAUUUUGGAAUACAAGAUACAUUAGGCAAUGAAUAUGAGACUGUCAGUGUGUAUUUUCUUAAUGUUGGAAGCCAAAAGGAGACAGGUGGCCUUCAAAAAUUAAUAGCUCUUAAAAGGCAUAAGGAAAGAUAACUUAAGGAUGUGUUCUUAUGAAACACUGGUGAGAAGCUGUGUUUUGGGGUUGAUGUUAAUUAAGAACAUAUCCCCAUUGGCCUAAAUGUCUCACAUUUUUGCCCUUGGUGUUAGGCUCACCAUGAGCCAGGUCAAUUCACAAGGCAAUUUUUGUAAAUAAAGGUUUGGGAUAAGCUGAACACGGUCCAGAGAGACAUUAACAAGAGGGCACAGGGGAAGAGAUAAUGAAAACACUGCCUGGUGGAACAUAAACUACUUUUUGGACUUAGAGAAGGCUUUAAAAUGAUUUUUCCCAAACCCUCUGGCACUUCUUUUCUGGAGGAGAUGGGAUGGGGAGAAAUGACAAAUAGCUCCAUUUUAUUAUUUUCUUCUCUCUAGUUCUCCAUAUUUUUGGUAGGGAAAAUUGGACAUUAAUUUUGGCCAUUUUCCUUCUGUUCGCAGAACCAAUUACGUUUUUAGUGCAUGAUGCAUAAUAAAUAUAU
rnacentral:lncRNA from 1 species